GCAAGUCGAGCGCCCCGCAAGGGGAGCGGCAGACGGGAGAGUAACACGUGGGAACGUACCCUUUGGUCCGGAACAACCCAGGGAAACUUGGGCUAAUACCGGAUAAGCCCUUACGGGGAAAGAUUCAUCGCCGAAGGAUCGGCCCGCGUCUGAUUAGCUUGUUGGUGAGGUAACGGCUCACCAAGGCGACGAUCAGUAGCUGGUCUGAGAGGAUGAUCAGCCUCACUGGGACUGAGACACGGCCCAGACUCCUACGGGAGGCAGCAGUGGGGAAUAUUGGACAAUGGGCGCAAGCCUGAUCCAGCCAUGCCGCGUGGGUGAUGAAGGCCCUAGGGUUGUAAAGCCCUUUCGGCGGGGAAGAUAAUGACGGUACCCGCAGAAGAAGCCCCGGCUAACUUCGUGCCAGCAGCCGCGGUAAUACGAAGGGGGCUAGCGUUGCUCGGAAUCACUGGGCGUAAAGCGCACGUAGGCGGAUUGCUAAGUCAGGGGUGAAAUCCUGGAGCUCAACUCCAGAACUGCCCUUGAUACUGGCGA
rnacentral:rRNA from 1 species